GGAAGUUACCAGUAGUGAUACCUCCAGUUUCCAACACCUUUUUGAUAUCCUCUUUUGUACUUUAGGGUACCCUUAAAAAUUUAAAACCUCAGUUCUCCUUUAAAUUUAUUCUGAGGCCCUGGUUUCCUGCCACCGCAAAAUUCAGUUAUGCUUGUGCUUUCUGUCACAUAAAAAGCAAAUAAGUUAAUUUCAUGGCCUUAUAUUUCUCAUAAUCUCAUCCCUUCUGAUCUUUUCCACAUACUUCUCCAACGCAUCUGGAGCAUGGGGGGUUUCUUUCAUCAGCAUCUUCCAAGCCCGUGUCCUCAGGAGGCAAGGAAAAAGCAGUGUGAUUCCUUCCAUGUGUUCAUAUGCUUGCAAGAGAGACACCAGAGAUGAAUCACGAAAAACACGCCAAAGGAAAGAGAGCACUUCCCAAGACCUAGAAAGGAGUUGAGGUGAUUCUAAUAUGCAGUCAUAGUUGAGAAUCAUUGCCUUGGUAUGACAGACCAAAGUUGUCCCCUAAGAAAUCUAUUUUAUUUUCUCCUGAGCCAUAUAUUAUGAAACUCUUCCGUCUUGAAGUGGAAGGAGAUGGGUAACUUCGAGUUCCCCAUACAUCUCUGUAAUCCUCCAUCAGAGGACACUGAUUUUCAAACUUGAAUGCACACUGGAAUCACCCGAGGAAUUUAAAAAAACACCGACACCUGGAUCCCACACAAGGACCCUGAUUUAAAUGGAUAAUCCUCACCAGCCUCAGAGUUCAUGUCUGAAAGUAUAGAGGCGGCAGAUAACCAAUGCAAGUGAACAUGGGUGAAAAUGGAUGAAAGUCCAUCUGGGCUGUCUGCAAAAUGAGAAGAUUCUAGACACUGUUUCUUAAAUACCUUGGAGGCGAGGAUCACAAAAUGCUCUCAGAAGUUUAUGAAAGCUAUGGAGUCUCCGGAAAUAUUCAGAAUUUUGCAUGUAAUUUUCAUAGAUUGCAGAUUCCCUGAAGAACACCAGUAGUUGAGGACUCCUAGAACCCAGGUUAACAGUUCUGGAUGAAGCCUUCCACCAUUUUAAAGCUCCUUUUAUGGAUAUUUCUGGUUUUGGUCUCAGAUUUUCAUUCUCCAAACAUUCUCUUUAGAUGACCACAUUCACUUUCAAGUAUUCAUGCCAAAUAAAUCUUCAUUUCCAGCCCAGACCUCCCUCCAAACUCUUGGUUUGUUUAGUCACUUGCAACACAGAUUAUUCAUCCAGAUUUCCAUGGGCAUCUCAAAAUCAACACAUCCAAAAUGAAGUUAUCAUCCCUGAUAAUCCUCCUAGCUCCUGUCCCAUUCAUCUCCCUCCCAUCUCUCACCCAUAAAGAAUUAACUACUGAUGUUUCUCACUAACCAACCCAUAAUAAUGACCUGCAUUAAUUAAUCCAUGUGCAAUUCAGAAUUACUUACAUUCAUUUAUCCAUGUGAUAUUUUCACUCAUUAAUCACCAUCGUCUGCAUAUGUAAACAGGAACAACAACAUCCACCUAUCCCAGCAGGGGUUUUGCAAUUACUUUAAAGCCUUUUCAAAUAUAUUUUUGUGUGAUUAAAAUGAUGGAGAUAUUUCAAAUGAAUUCAAGUAUAAAAUGCAAAAUAUUCCAACUUCAUAAACUGUUUACUUCUGGCUUAGAAAAUGUUAAUAUUUUUACUCAACCCAUCUGGCUCUGGAGAUGCUGUGUGUGCUUGAUAAUUGUAUGUGAAAAUUAUUAUUUGCAUCUUUAAAAAUUACUUGAGGAAUGCUAUUUAUUAAACUUGUUAUUCCUAUCUAUUUUUUGACAACAUAAUACAACUUUAAAUUCAAAAGAAAAAUUGACAAGACAUAUUUUAGCAGUUUAAAAUGAACAUCACAGAUACAAAAUGAUCAAAGUAAAAUAUUAUUAGCUGUAGAUGACUCAAAUAUUUCCUCGUCUUACUGUCUUUUGUUUUGAUGUGAUUUCCUUCCAUCCUUAAAAAAUCCUGUAGCACCAUCUGCUCCUAUAACACUUUGGCAUGCUUAAAAAUUUCAUUUCCAGACUCGGCAGUUUUGAAAUACUUCCAUGGACAUUUCUUAAAGAAAAUAAGUUGGAAGAAUUUCCAUUCCUCCCAGCUUGUUUCUUAAUAAACAGCAGACGAAGUACUCAAGAAACACAGAGCUAUAUAAAUGUUUUGUUAUAAUCAGACAUUUCCCUUCUGAUUUUCCCUCUGACCCUGUGGCUAUAUUAUGCCUGAGGAAACAGUAUUUUAUAUGCUAUGUGCACAGUUUAUGCAACAAUUUUUUAAUAUGCAGAUCUGGUUUUAUAAUCUGAAUUCUAAAAUGUAAUGAAUUUCCAUGAAGUGUAUGUUUCAUGGAUAAGCCAGCAUUUAAUAAAUGACUAGAUUACCCAAACACUCCAAGGGAAGUUGGAGACUAAGCAAGUAAUAUCAGUAAAAAUAAUCCAAUAAACUAAAUAGAUUCUCCUUCUACGAAAUUUAACCAUACAUUUAGAAAAAAUUAGACUUCCAGUUUUUGACAGCGGUAAUGGAAAAUUAAGUGGCUCAUUUUUUCAAUGUGUAUGACUCCAAGUCGUUGAAACUGAUACAGAAGUAUAAAUAAGAGGUAUUAAGUGAUGCUGAAACUGUGGUAGGAGAAAUAGCAAUGGACUAAUGGCCUCCUCAGGGAAGCCUAAAUAUAGGUGUUGCAUUGUUUACAAAUAUAUUCAUCCUUUUAGUCACUUAUUCAGCAUAUAUCAAACACCUACUAUGUCUAGAUUUCAUGUUAGUUUCUGCAAUGAAUCAAUAAUUUCCUUGUCAUUUUAAAAUAAUAUUUAUCUAUCAUCUUAGAGAUGCAACUUGGUCCCCUUCAUCCAGCAAUUUCUACUCUAACCCGUUUUUCACAUAAUAGCCAGAGUAAAUUUUGUAAAGUUACAAUUGUAUUGUAGGAUAAAGGUCUAACUCCUUAAUGUGGUUUACAAUGCCCUUUACAAAAGUCUCACUUUUACUUACCCUCUUAGUCUCUGCCUUUCUACACUUACUGUCUAGCCAUACUGAAUUACUUCGCUGUCACUCGAGACUUAGUUCUUUGCAUGCUCUUUCCUCCACCAAAAAUAUUUUUUUUUCUCCUCUCCUUACCUGGCUUCUUUUUUAAAAACUUUUAUUUAUUUAUUUAUUUAUUUUGAGACAGAGUCUCUCUCUAUCACCCAGGUGGGAGUGCAGGGGUGCAAUCUCGGGCUCACUGCAACCUCUGCCUUCCAGGUUCAAGCGAUCCUCCUGCCUCACCCUCCCAAGUAGCUGGGAUUACAGGCAUGCACCACCAUGCCUGGCUAAUUUUUGUAGUUUUAGUAGAGACGGGGUUUCACCAUGUUGGCCAGGCUGGUCUCAAACUCCUGACCUCAAGUGAUCUGCCUGAGGCCUCCCAAAGUACUGGGAUUACAGGCGUGAGCCACCGUUCCCGGCCUCUUUACCUGACUUCUUUUCUUUACCCUUUAGUUUCUGACAUAAACAUCUUAUCAGUGAAACCUUCCCUAAGGAACAAUGCCAAGUCAGAUGACCAUAGUGACCUAUGCUUUCCACCUUGCAGCACAUAACACAGCCAGUUAUUUAUUUCCUUGCCUCUUCUACUGGACUGUAAACCCCUUGAGGACAGGAAAUAUACUUUGCUUGCCCUGGAAACCUCGUUAUGUGAAAUAGCACUUUGGCAUACCUUGGUAAAAAAAAGGCUGAAUGAGGAAGUGGAAGAGUGAGCCAUGCAUUCUUCCUGUCUCUCUGAGUGAGGUCAUUCAAAAUGGCAAGGGUGUAAAGACGAGGGAGGCAUUCAUUUGCCUUGCCACUUGACUACAUGGGUUGGAAUAUUUGAUGGUAAAUGCACAUACUUAAUCAUACUCUUUUUUAAACACUACAUUUAAAUUCUAAUUUACUAUUAAAAUAUUUCCAACUUAAAUCAGUAAUGCCUUAAUUUUUCUUAUGGAGAAGAGUGUGUGACUUACUCUUCUUGUUUACUUUAGUGCAUUAUGAUGGACUGAAAUACAAAACAAUUCCAAGAUCAACUUAAAUAUAUUUUUCUUGUUUUGGAAGCAGAAUAAUAAUAACAAAUUAACUAAUCUAGAGAAAUAAAUAUGUUCAGUAGAGAGAUAAUUGCAUUUGCUUGGGUAAAAUAUUUUGGCUUGCUCAGUAUCACAUGUAUACAGCUGUAUUUCUAAAACAACUUUAUUCAUAAAUAACAUUUCUUUAAAUAUUUAUUGAUAAUGAUAUGGCAAUCUAGUAUACUAUGACUUUAACCUCUAUAGAUUCUAAGAUCAAAUAUGUAAAUGAAAUAAACAUACAUCUAUGCAUAUUCAACUAGGAAGCAUUGUAUUGAAACACUAAUGAUAGUAUUAAGGGUUGAAUUUUAUUUUCAUUUUUUUACUUUUCUAUAUUUUUCCAAACUUUGAGAAUGAGCACAUAGAAAAGAAAACCAAUUAACAUUUUUAUAUAUGAGAUAGAGCAGAAAAGAUAAUGACAUUGUUCAAGAGAGAAAUAGUAGAUAUGGGUGUUCCAUAAGUUUCUUGCUAGCUUUAAAACUAAUUUUAUGAGUUCUCAAUUGUACUGUCAAAAAAUAUAUAGAUUUCAAUCCAGUAGAGAUUCAAAUAGAAAUAUCUGUCAAAUAUUCUUUCUUAAUAGAUAAUUAAUGAAAAAGCAUACAAUAUGACUGUCAUAAAAGGUGAAUGCCUUUCACCUCAUGGGCACUUACGUAUCUAAUGAAUCCAUGAACUGGUCAAUGAAUAGAAACUGAAGUUUGUGUAUUAAAAUCCUGUCUCUGCUGCCCUCCAGUGGCUUAACUCUGAAGAACUUCAAAAGAGAAAAUCAAGUGCCAUCUAUUCCCAGAUCCUUAUUUGUGGUGAGUAUGAAUGCUCAGGUGUGUGAGCUUGGGAUUUUUCCUGGACAGUUUUGUAUUUGUCCUAUUAGAUAUUACCUUGGUAUAUCAAGACCAAAUUCCCAAGACUAAAUGCAUUACCCAUCUCCUCCCACCUGCAGAAGGGUAAGCUGGAGCAACUGCCAUAAAUGGUGCCAAUAAAUACUAGCAUUUGUUCGUGGACAGUUUAUAGAGACUUUUCAAUUGUGUUAUCACAGAAAACUCCUAGUAAGAAAUAGUGGUGAUAGCAAUUGCAUCUCGUUUAUUAGAAAUUUCUCUGAUUCCCUUUACAAAGUGGGUGAUGGUGUCAGUGUUAUCUUUAGGUAUGAAAACCCUAUGAACAGCUUAUAGUCUAAAACUUACAAUGUGGUGCUGUAGAAAGAUGUUAGCUUAGCAGCAAACAUCAUCAAUAAAUAUCUUCUGCAAUCUGGUAACCAUUAGAAUUAUAUAUUUUUUAUUGCCCUGGACUAUGAGAAUUACAUUCUGAAUUCAUUUGGUAUCUUGUGUAGGCAUAGGAGAAAACCUUUUUGUAUCUAAGAAAAUGGGGUUUUUGACAUUGACUAUCACCUGUUCCCAGAUCUCCUAGGACUCAGACCUCAGACCUCACACCCCUGAAAGCUGAAACCUCGGGGGUUUCAGAUAGUGAUCUCUAAUUGAGUUCUUGUCUAGAUGAAUUCUUAAAAUAUUUUACCUUUCCCUGUUAUUGUGGUUCUGGAAUAUUCUUUUGGUUUUAGCCAAGGAAAUCUCUCAAUUUCUUCAAAAGUUUGCUACUGUGCCUCUAGGUGGUACAAUUAUUUCCAUCUUUUUGCUCAUUUGCAGCCUGUCUUUUUGGAUUAUAGUCUCUCACUACUUAAGCAAUUUCUUCCUUUUCUGUAGUAUGUCUCAUUUGUCCUUCAUAAUAAUGAAUGUCUGUGUUUUUUAUUCUCAGGUAGAUUACUGGAAUUUUACGUAUAUUUUAUUGGUGUUCUCAUGAAUGCUUGGAUUUAACAAUUGUACCAUUUUCCAACGUUCUAUGUCAUAGUAAUUUUGCAACUUGUUUUCAAUUAAUAAUAUGUUGAGAAUAGUGUACAUAAAAUGCAUUUUAGAACUAAUCCUAAGAUAAAGUGUCUCACCAAAGCAUAUUUUAUAACAAUAAAGCAGUAGAAAAAAUAAGUUAACUAAAUGUCCAACAAGUGGAGAUGUAUUAUAUAAAUUCAGUACCAUCAAAAAUGUAAUAUUACUCAGUAAUUAAAAUUAUAUUUUAUUUAAAUGUUCAUUGGCUUGUGAAAAGUCUAUAACAUACCAAGUAGAAGUUAAAGUUAUAUUUUGUAAGUUAAAAAAAUUUUAAAAGGUGAG
rnacentral:lncRNA from 1 species